UACAGAGACUGCAAGCGUUAUUCGGAUUCACUGGGCGUAAAGGGUGCGCAGGCGGCCGUGUGUGUGAGGUGUGAAAGCCCGGGGCUUAACCCCGGAAAUGCGCCUCAAACUACAUGGCUAGAGCAUUGGAGAGGGUAGCGGAAUUCAUGGUGUAGCAGUGAAAUGCGUAGAUAUCAUGAGGAACACCAGAGGCGAAGGCGGCUACCUGGACAAUUGCUGACGCUCAGGCACGAAAGCGUGGGGAGCAAAAGGGAUUAGAAACCCCCGUAGUCC
rnacentral:rRNA from 1 species